AUUUUAUUCCUAGAUAAUCUUCUCAUAUAUUAGUAUAAAACAAUAGUUUAGUACACAACAAUAAUCAGACUAGUGUUAGAAUAUAAUACACUGGUGUCUUGUAGCACUAUAUCUUUAACAAUUGCAUAAAUACUCUAAAAUCUACAUUUUGAAAUCUUUUAUUUUUAAUAUCAAGUCAUGAGAUGUCAAGAUUUUAUAAAAUUCACUAAUUUUUGGAUAGUUGUAAGGAAUAUAUACGACCCACUUAAUAAUUUUUUUUUUUUUUGUCAUUCCAUUGUUUUUGCAAUAUAAAAAGCAAAUUACCUUAAAAUAAGAUAAAAUCCCACUAGGUUCUACUUAUAGUUAUACAAAUGCAAUUGUCUGAAUUUUAUAUGAAACUCUUUCAAAUUAAAGCCAGAAAUAUUUGAAAAUAAAUUUUAUUCUAAAUCCUUUGUCACCAGUGUUUUUACAAUGUGUAAUCUAUAAAAUGAGCAGAAAAAAAUCUGUCCCCACAUCUUUCCAUUAACUUUGUCCUCUUUAGAGACAGAUUGAAGUAAUUACUACCAAAUGUUAACAGUAUUUUUACUUUGUCCUCUUUAGAGACAGAUUGAAGUAAUUACUACCAAAUGUUAACAGUAUUUUUACUUUGUCCUCUUUAGAGACAGAUUGAAGUAAUUACUACCAAAUGUUAACAGUAUUUUUACUUUGCCCUCUUUAGAGACAGAUUGAAGUAAUUACUACCAAAUGUUAACAGUAUUUUUACUUUGCCCUCUUUAGAGACAGAUUGAAGUAAUUACUACAAA
rnacentral:lncRNA from 1 species